rnacentral:pre_miRNA from 1 species
AAAGUACUCUCUCCGUUUCAAAAUACUCGUCUUAAAUUUAUCUAAAUAUGAAUGUAUCUAAUCAUGUUUUAGUUUUUAGAUACAUUUAUUCAUAAAUAAAUCUAAGACAAUUUUUUGAAACGGAGGGAGUAAUAU